AGUUCGGAGAGUUUGAUCCUGGCUCAGGACGAACGCUGACGGCGUGCUUUAGACAUGCAAGUCGAACGAGAAAGCCCUUCGGGGUGAGUACAGUGGCGAACGGGUGAGUAACACGUGGGUAACCUGCCCCUCGCAGGGGGAUAACCGGGGGAAACCCCGGCUAAUACCCCGUAAGCUUACAAAGCGGCAUCGCUUUGUAAGGAAAGGUAGCUUCGGCCAUCCGGCGAGGGAUGGGCCCGCGGUGCAUUAGCUAGUUGGUGGGGUAACGGCCCACCAAGGCGACGAUGCAUAGCUGGUCUGAGAGGAUGAUCAGCCACACUGGGACUGAGACACGGCCCAGACUCCUACGGGAGGCAGCAGUGGGGAAUCUUGCGCAAUGGGCGAAAGCCUGACGCAGCGACGCCGUGUGCGGGAAGAAGGCCUUCGGGUUGUAAACCGCUUUCAGGAGGGACGAAGCCACUCGGGUUAAUAGCCCAGAGGGUGACGGUACCUCCAGAAGAAGCCCCGGCUAACUACGUGCCAGCAGCCGCGGUAAUACGUAGGGGGCUAGCGUUGUCCGGAUUUAUUGGGCGUAAAGAGCGUGUAGGCGGCCAGGUAGGUCCGGUGUGAAAACUCGAGGCUCAACCUCGAGAUGUCAUCGGAAACCAUCUGGCUAGAGUCCGGAAGAGGAGAGUGGAAUUCCUGGUGUAGCGGUGAAAUGCGCAGAUAUCAGGAAGAACACCUAUGGCGAAAGCAGCUCUCUGGGACGGUACUGACGCUGAGACGCGAAAGCGUGGGGAGCGAACAGGAUUAGAUACCCUGGUAGUCCACGCCGUAAACGAUGGG
rnacentral:rRNA from 1 species